GAUUUCAGGGAGAGAUGUAUGCCUUCCCAAGGGAUGGCAAAGCAUUUUGCCUGAUGUGGAUCAUAAGUGGAUGACCAAGGCGUUGUUCAGGUGGUCGGGGAAUGGGAUUCCAGAGAUGGACUUUGCCAGGGUUGACAAAAUGUGGUGGGACUGCCCUCCACCACCAUCUGCAGCUCAGUAGAGAUGGAAAGAUACUUUGCCGAUCCUCUGUUGCUCUGGAUGCCCAGGAAGCUCUGGCAGGAGCUGAUAGGUUUGAAGUACCUCUUUGAUCAGACUGGUUUGGUGCUGCAGGAUCACAAGGCUGCCAUUGAGGAACUGGAGACAGGUGAUCCUGAUGUCCAAGGGGAGGAUGAUGAGGGCUUUGUGGAGCUUGUGGAAUAUCAGGACCUGACAGUUCCUGGGCUGGAGACAGCCCUGCCUCUUGUUGGCACCUGUCGUCGUACUCCCACCCCCUCUACCAGCAUCCAGUCCACAGCUGCAUCAGUCAGUCCCCUGUCCUCCUCUCCUGUACGGGCUACUCCACCACCUGGGCCUCUGUCCUCCACACUUGGGCUCGUCCUUCCCCUGUCCUACGUUCCUGUACGGGCUACUCCACCACCUGGGCCUCUGUCCUCCACACUUGGGCUCGUCCUACCCCUGUCCUAUGUUCCUGUACAGGCUACUCCACCACCUGGGCCCCUGUCCUCCACACUUGGGCUCGUCCUACCCCUGUCCUAUGUUCCUGUUCGGGCUACUCCACCACCUGGGCCUCUGUCCUCCACACUUGGCUCGUCAUUCCCCUGUCCUACGUUCCUGUUCAGGCUAACAUUACGCCUUAGUCCAUGUACCAUGAAUAUUCUUUUUAAAGCGUGAAUUGGCUCUGGCAGUCAAAACAGCCAAAUACUCCAUCUAAAGUAUUGGGAUAGUAUAAUGUUUUGUUGUUUCGGCUCUGUACUCCAGCACUUUAGAUUUGCAAUGAUACAAAGUGCAGACUGUCGGCUUUAAUUUGAGGGUAUUUUCAUCCAUAUUACAGCACUUUUUAUUAUAGUACUUUUUGUACAUAGUCCCCCCCCAUUUAAGAGGACCCAAAAGUAUUGGGAUAAAUGAACUUAUGUGUAUUAAAGUAGUCAAAAGUUUAGUAUUUGGUCCGUUAUUCCUAGCACACAAUGAUUACAUCAAGCUUGUGACUCUACAAACAUUUGCUGUUUGUUUUGGUUGUGUUUCAGAUUAUUUUGUGCCCAAUACAAAUUACUGAUAAAUCAUGUAUUGUGUCAUUUUGGAGUCAGUUAUUGUAAAUAAGAAUAUAAUAUGUUUCUAAACACUUCUACAUUAAUGUGGAUGCUACCAGGACUACCGAUAGUCCUGAUGAAUUGUGAAGAAUGAUUAGUGAGAAAGUUACAGAUGCACAAAUAUCAUACCCCUUGUCAUACAGCAUGUCUUGGGUGUAUGUUGAGAGGUAGCUUGUAAGUAAGGAUUUCAUUGCACUGUUUACACCCUGUAUAUAUAUGAUGAUUAAAAUUGGAUUUGAUUUAAUUUGAUUUGACAGAGAGGAUGCUUGCCAUUUCAGGAGACGGUUCUGAAAGAGUACACCAGGUCUAUAUCUCUGGAUAAGUUUGGCCAGGAGGGCUUCUGAGGAGAAGACCUUC
rnacentral:lncRNA from 13 species